rnacentral:rRNA from 1 species
UACGGAGGGAGCGAGCGUUGAUCGGAAUUACUGGGCGUAAAGGGUGCGUAGGUGGUUGAUUAAGUUAUCUGUGAAAUUCCUGGGCUUAACCUGGGACGGUCAGAUAAUACUGGUUGACUCGAGUAUGGGAGAGGGUAGUGGAAUUUCCGGUGUAGCGGUGAAAUGCGUAGAGAUCGGAAGGAACACCAGUGGCGAAGGCGUCUACCUGGCCUAAUACUGACACUGAGGCACGAAAGCGUGGGGAGCAAACAGG